rnacentral:ribozyme from 11 species
GUCAAUACAGACAGAAAUGCUACGUCGUUCUGUGUUUCCCUCCUGUGUUUCUUUUUGUUUUCUCCUUUUCUUUCUUCCUUUCCGUUUUCUUGUUGUUUCUUUCGGCAGACAGACAGGCAGACAGAUAGCCGCGAGUCAGGAAGAGAAA